rnacentral:rRNA from 1 species
CGAAUGCUGACAUAAGUAACGAUAAAGCGGGUGAAAAGCCCGCUCGCCGGAAGACCAAGGGUUCCUGUCCAACGUUAAUCGGGGCAGGGUGAGUCGACCCCUAAGGCGAGGCCGAAAGGCGUAGUCGAUGGGAAACAGGUUAAUAUUCCUGUACUUGGUGUUACUGCGAAGGGGGGACGGAGAAGGCUAUGUUGGCCGGGCGACGGUUGUCCCGGUUUAAGCGUGUAGGCUGGUUUUCCAGGCAAAUCCGGAAAAUCAAGGCUGAGGCGUGAUGACGAGGCACUACGGUGCUGAAGCAACAAAUGCCCUGCUUCCAGGAAAAGCCUCUAAGCAUCAGGUAACAUCAAAUCGUACCCCAAACCGACACAGGUGGUCAGGUAGAGAAUACCAAGGCGCUUGAGAGAACUCGGGUGAAGGAACUAGGCAAAAUGGUGCCGUAACUUCGGGAGAAGGCACGCUGAUAUGUAGGUGAAGUCCCUCGCGGAUGGAGCUGAAAUCAGUCGAAGAUACCAGCUGGCUGCAACUGUUUAUUAAAAACACAGCACUGUGCAAACACGAAAGUGGACGUAUACGGUGUGACGCCUGCCCGGUGCCGGAAGGUUAAUUGAUGGGGUCAGCGCAAGCGAAGCUCUUGAUCGAAGCCCCGGUAAACGGCGGCCGUAACUAUAACGGUCCUAAGGUAGCGAAAUUCCUUGUCGGGUAAGUUCCGACCUGCACGAAUGGCGUAAUGAUGGCCAGGCUGUCUCCACCCGAGACUCAGUGAAAUUGAACUCGCUGUGAAGAUGCAGUGUACCCGCGGCAAGACGGAAAGACCCCGUGAACCUUUACUAUAGCUUGACACUGAACAUUGAGCCUUGAUGUGUAGGAUAGGUGGGAGGCUUUGAAGUGUGGACGCCAGUCUGCAUGGAGCCGACCUUGAAAUACCACCCUUUAAUGUUUGAUGUUCUAACGUGGACCCGUGAUCCGGGUUGCGGACAGUGUCUGGUGGGUAGUUUGACUGGGGCGGUCUCCUCCUAAAGAGUAACGGAGGAGCACGAAGGUUGGCUAAUCCUGGUCGGACAUCAGGAGGUUAGUGCAAUGGCAUAAGCCAGCUUGACUGCGAGCGUGACGGCGCGAGCAGGUGCGAAAGCAGGUCAUAGUGAUCCGGUGGUUCUGAAUGGAAGGGCCAUCGCUCAACGGAUAAAAGGUACUCCGGGGAUAACAGGCUGAUACCGCCCAAGAGUUCAUAUCGACGGCGGUGUUUGGCACCUCGAUGUCGGCUCAUCACAUCCUGGGGCUGAAGUAGGUCCCAAGGGUAUGGCUGUUCGCCAUUUAAAGUGGUACGCGAGCUGGGUUUAGAACGUCGUGAGACAGUUCGGUCCCUAUCUGCCGUGGGCGCUGGAGAACUGAGGGGGGCUGCUCCUAGUACGAGAGGACCGGAGUGGACGCAUCACUGGUGUUCGGGUUGUCAUGCCAAUGGCACUGCCCGGUAGCUAAAUGCGGAAGAGAUAAGUGCUGAAAGCAUCUAAGCACGAAACUUGCCCCGAGAUGAGUUCUCCCUGACCCUUUAAGGGUCCUGAAGGAACGUUGAAGACGACGACGUUGAUAGGCCGGGUGUGUAAGCGCAGCGAUGCGUUGAGCUAACCGGUACUAAUGAAC